rnacentral:rRNA from 1 species
ACGUUCCUUCGGGAACAAGUAGAGCGGCGGACGGGUGAGUAACGCGUGGGAAAUUGCCCAGUAGUGGGGGACAACAUUCGGAAACGGAUGCUAAUACCGCAUACGCCCUACGGGGGAAAGCAGGGGAUCUUCGGACCUUGCGCUAUUGGAUAUGCCCGCGUCGGAUUAGCUAGUUGGUGAGGUAAUGGCUCACCAAGGCAACGAUCCGUAGCUGGUCUGAGAGGAUGAUCAGCCACACUGGGACUGAGACACGGCCCAGACUCCUACGGGAGGCAGCAGUGGGGAAUAUUGGACAAUGGGCGCAAGCCUGAUCCAGCCAUGCCGCGUGUGUGAAGAAGGCCCUAGGGUUGUAAAGCACUUUCAGUAGGGAGGAAGGCCUUAAAGUUAAUACCUUUGAGGAUUGACGUUACCUACAGAAGAAGCACCGGCUAACUCCGUGCCAGCAGCCGCGGUAAUACGGAGGGUGCGAGCGUUAAUCGGAAUUACUGGGCGUAAAGCGCGCGUAGGCGGUUAGUUAAGCUGGAUGUGAAAGCCCCGGGCUCAACCUGGGAACUGCAUUCAGAACUGGCUGGCUAGAGUACGAGAGAGGGUAGUGGAAUUUCCUGUGUAGCGGUGAAAUGCGUAGAUAUAGGAAGGAACA